GCGUGUACACACACUCACACAAAAGGUUUCUGAGGCAGAGAGAAGUCCCAUCAAAUGCCACAGUUGGAAGAGAGGGAGUGGUCCCUCAUGGGCCCUCCUGGGGUGGCUCCAAGUCCUUCUCAAUGCCACAGGCUGUGGGAUUCCAUGUCACUGCACUGAGACCCGAAGAGACAAGUCGAAGGCCAUGUCUCUGCCUGACCUUAAGGUGCUGGGUUUGGAAACCAGGGCCUCGCACAUGGCUAGGCAAAUGCUGUACCACGGCGCUGCACGCCCGGCCCUAAACUGCAAAUUCUUGGGGAUGGGUUAAAAUCCUUUCCACCACUAAUUUUUGACAGCCCCAAAUGUCUCAGCUGCCCACACCUGGUGUCAGGACCCGGGGUCCCCUCCUGUCCAUCAAAGGGCAAGGCAAGGGCAGUCUAGGUCAACUCCUAGGUGAACCUAUUUUUCUAAGCUAUGCCCUCAAUAACGGACACCACCCACUGGCCCUUCCGGCCUGGGCCUGUGUAGCGGUGGGGUCUGAUGGGGACGGCAAUUAACCGGCUGCUUGCCUUCUCUGUCACCCAUGUGUCUCAUGCAAAUUUUUGAUAUUUUGUUCAGAAUGAGUUGUUUGCAUUAAUCUGAAUUUUUAAAAACAUUACACUAAAAUGUAACUUAUCGA